rnacentral:rRNA from 1 species
AUACGGAAGGUCCGGGCGUUAUCCGGAUUUAUUGGGUUUAAAGGGAGCGCAGGCGGGUUGUUAAGCGUGACGUGAAAUGUAGCCGCUCAACGGCUGAACUGCGUCGCGAACUGGCAGGCUUGAGUGAGUACGACGUCAGCGGAAUUCGUGGUGUAGCGGUGAAAUGCUUAGAUAUCACGAAGAACCCCGAUUGCGAAGGCAGCUGACGAGUCCUUUACUGACGCUAAAGCUCGAAGGUGCGGGUAUCGAACAGGAUUAGAUACCCUGGUAGUCCGCACGGUAAACGAUGGAUGCCCGCUGUAUGCGAUAUAUUGUAUGCGGCCAAGCGAAAGCGUUAAGCAUCCCACCUGGGGAGUACGCCGGCAACGGUGAAACUCAAAGGAAUUGACGGGG